rnacentral:lncRNA from 1 species
UAAGAAUCAAAUUAUAAUUUUGUCAUAUAUUAAUUUAAGAUUUUAUGAUUUUUAAGGUUUAAAGUUUAGAAUCCAACUCAUUAUUUUUUGAAGGAACUCGAGAUUAAAUUAUAUAUUUUUUCGUUAGUUAAAAUGCAAUGUCACUAUUAUAUAUUUAUGAUUUUUGAAAAGAAUUAAAUUAAAAUUUUAAUAUUGUUAAGAGGUUAAACUAUAAUUUCACCAUGAACUUUGACAUAAAAAGCAGCAACUUCCGUUCUAGGGGAACCAAUGCUUGCCUUCCUACCUUCCUCUAACUUGAGUAUGUGUGUCUGAUACAUAAAUUUCUUGAUUCAAUUGAUGAAAAACCAGCGAGACAUGGCCGAAGAAACUGGUUGGCAAUGUUGGUUUCUAAACCUUUGUGGACAACACAACCAAUGUAUUGUACGGAAUAUCAAAAUGCAGCUCCCUCCAGCUGAAUUGGAACAUUUGCUUCAUUCCCAUCCAGAAAUCGUUGAUGUUGUGGUGAUUCCGUGCGUACUUUUUAUAUAUAUAUAUUAUCAUGUGUUCUUUAACUCACCAUCAUAAAUCUCAUAGCGAUUGAUCAGGUGUACCCGAUGAAGAAGUAGGGCAGAUUCCCAUGGCAUAUGUAGUCAAGAACCCUGGAAGUAAUAUUACAUAGGCACAAAUCAUGAAUUUCAUCGCAAAACAGGCAUGUUUCUAAAACAACACCACAAAUAAUACGUUGCCUUUUAUUUUAGGCAAAACUGUGAACCGGAUCCCCUUUUUUGACGCGCCAUACAAGAAAAUCCGACAAGUUGCUUUUAUAAAUUCAAUACCAAAAACUCCGGCAGGGAAGAUAUUGAGGAGGGAACUCAUUAAUCACUCUCUAUCUCAUGGCUUAUCUAAAUUAUAGCGGCGAAUAUUAACAAUAGACUUUGAAGCCUACUUAAUUAUGCAACAAAUAGAAUUAUUUGAAUCCCAUAUAAAAGCUAAGUAAACUUUCUACCUAAAUGAUAGAGCUAAAUGAUCAAAAUUUCAUUAUAUCAUGAGUUCAAAAUUUACCAUAAAUUAUUUUAUUAAUACCAUAUAGAACUGUAGAAAAAUUAAACCAAUUUACUUUGUAUAUUUACUGUGGAUAUAAAAAAAUUAAUAAUCUUUUAACAAAAUUGUUUACUCGUAACAUUAACUCAAUGACAUAAUAUAAGUAUAGAUAUGUACCUUUAUAGUGUAUUAUCAAUGAGAUAUCAAUGAGAACUAUAUAUGUAAGUUCUGCACUAAUAAAAACCAAAAAGAUUUUAAAAACCAGUUUAUUAAUUCAUGUGCAAUAAAUAUAAGAAAACAAAAUACAUAAAUAAUAAUAUUAGAAAAAUAUUUAGUAGACUGUUACUCAAAAUAGUCAAAGAUUAAUACAUGCCCGAUAAGAGUAUAGCAAAAUAUUAAAUAAUAAAUACUUGUAAUUUAAUUAAGAAAAAGAUUUGUUAUGGGUGGAAACAAAAGCAUCCCCAUAAUAAAUUGACCCACAUGCCAUAGAAAAACUAUACAUAGUGGCCAAUCCUAAAAAAUACCAUGAAAUUUAUAUGGAAAAAAUCAUGAACCGCGGCUUACACAAGAAAGAAUGUAGCUAUAUUCUUUCUAUUUUAGAUAUUAUAAUCAAAAUUAAUAUCAUGAAUAAAAUAAAUUCUACCAAUUAUAUUCAAUGUCAAGGUAUAUAUAGCUUGAAAUAUGGAAAACUUAAGCCUGGGGUGUACAAGCCCAAAUAUGCCCGGGCCCAGACCAACAAACAAGCCCAAACAUUUAACCCUAGCCCAAUCACUAAAUUGCCCAAUACUUAAAUAAAAGCAGAAAACCCUAGUAGCAGCAAGUAGCCGCCGCCCUCAAACACCCCAGCAGUCUCCAGUCGCCGCAAGUUUCGGCCUCCACGCGUGCCGUUUCCACCACGUUCGCUUGCAAAACGGACUAAAAGAGUCCGAAGAAAAAAAACAGCAAAAUAGCAACUAUAUUUGAUCUAUUUUUUCUUCUUUUUCAAGCUAUAUAUAAAGCCAUUUCAUUUUUGUAAAAAAAGAAGAGAUUCUGUAACUUCCAUUGAAAUAAUACGAAAAACAGUGAUUGAAAGUAAGGAGCAAGUUUCCUUUCAUUUUUCCCCAUUCUUUUGCUUUAGUUUUUUUUUAUUAUUAUUCAAAAAAGCAUAAAAAGGAGAAAGAGUAACGUACCUUGCUCUCAGAUCUGCUAAAAAAGGGGGUUAAAAACCCAUUCCGGCGAGCCUCCGGCCACUGGUUGCGGCGAAACCGUGGCGAACGGAUGGCGGCGGCUUGGGGUAUGAAACCCUAGCAGACAAGGGAGUGGAUUUAAGUUUUUGUUUUUUUGUUAACUUUAAAUGAUAUUUUUGCAAAAAAGAGGGUUUAAAUAGAAACACCGAAACGGUGUCGUUUUUACUAAAGCAGACCCGCGCGGUGACCCGACCCGAUGGGAAGGAUCCGCGCGUUCUUGCUUUUGAUGGUACAAUUGUGCAUUUAGUCCCCUUUUUUGCGUUGUGUUUCAAUUAAAUCCUUUUGUCUCUUUUUUAAAUUGAGCCGCAUAUUUUUAUUUUGUUUUUCAAUUUAGCCCAUUGCUGCGCACUGUUUAGAGGGAAAUGGAUUAUUUCCAUUUUAGGCCCCUCAUAUAAUGCGUACAUCGCAAUUCGGCCCCCCGUUUCGUUUUAAUUACAUUUCUUCUUUGCAAUUCAAUUGUGUUUUUGUUCUAGAAAAAGAAAAUUGAUGCUUACUGUCAUUAUUCUCAUUAUUGUUUAUUACUAUUUGUAUUAUUUUAUUAGUUUUAUAUUUAUAUGCAUGCGACGUCUUUAUAUAAUAUGUAUAUAUUGUCUUAUAUUACUUAUGCAUAUAUCAUACAUAGGUUUUAUUUUAUUUCCUAACUUUUAUAUACAUAUAUAAAUAUUUUCAUAUUUUAGUUUU